rnacentral:snRNA from 1 species
CAGCUCAGCAGCUUUUACACUAAAAUUGGAAUGACACAGAGAUUAGCAUGGCCCCUGCACUAGGAUGACAUGCCAAUUCAUGAACCAUUACAUAUUUUU